GAACUUCGCCUUCAUUGAUGGUAUCUAUAAUGGUAGCUCUAUCAGCCUCCUUGGCAAGAACUCAGCCAUGAGUCCUGUACGUGAGAUGCCGAUCGUUGGCGGGACUGGGCUUUUCCGGUUGGCCCUUGGAUAUGCAAUUGCGAAGACACAUUGGUUUGAUAUUACUACUGGAGAUGCUAUCGUUGGCUAUAAUGUUACAGUAGUUCACUAGAUAUCUUUGCCUCUCUCCUGUGAUAUUGCUUGGGCUUGUCUUUUCAGUUUUAUAUAUUCAGCUUUAAUUCAC
rnacentral:misc_RNA from 1 species